UUGUAUGAACUCCUGGACAUUGCUAGAAAAGCCAAAUGCAAGGUUCUGAACGGGAAAAAUGGAACAUAACAAUUCAGAACAUCUGCUGCCUCCGAUACCCAGGCUGUAGUACCAGACGCCUUCGUUGACAGCGGUGCCGAGAAACAGAUGAUAACAACUUCCAAAAUUCCUGGCCCCUCCAGACGGAAUAACGGGCACUCGGAGAAAAGGGACGGCCGCAAAGGAAUUGAAUGUAUCGGGAAGAGUGUUUUGAAAAAUGGCACGUCUUCCUCCGUGAAGGGAGCCAUACAGCUGGGCAUUGCACACACCGUGGGUGGAAUUGGUCAGAAAGCUGACCGGGAUGUGCUGAUGCAGGAUUUUUAUGUAGUCGAGAGUACUUUCUUUCCUGGACAGGGUUGCAGCUUGACUCCGGCGCACCACUACGGUGAUUUUCAUUUCAAGACCUACGCCCCUUUUGCAUUUCAGUACUUCAGAGAACUUUUUGGGAUUAGUCCAGUUGACUACUUGUACGCCUUGUGCAACGAGCCAUUGAUUGAGCUGUCUAAUCCAGGUGCUAGUGGCUCACUGUUCUUCGUCUCCAGCAAUGACGAGUUUAUUAUCAAGAGCGUGCAACACAAGGAGGCAGAGUUCUUGCAGAAGCUUUUGCCAGGAUAUUACAUGAACCUCAACCAGAACAAGUGCACCCUACUUCCCAAAUUCUAUGGGCUGUAUUGUAUGCAGACUGGUGGAAGGAAUAUUCGUCUUGUGGUCAUGAAUAACUUUCUGCCAUGCUCUGUAUGCAUGCACCUUAAAUAUGACCUCAAGGGCUCGACCUUCAAGCGGCGGGCGUCUUCCAAGGAGCGAGAGAAAACACUGCCCACUUUCAAAGACCUGGACUUCAUGAAAGACCACCCUGACGGGCUUUUCCUGGAUUCUGAUAGGCACAACGCCCUCUGCAAGACCAUCCAGCGAGACUGCCUAGUACUGCAGAGUUUCAAGAUCAUCGACUACAGCCUCUUGGUAGGAAUUCAUAUCCUAGAUCAGAUGCAACCAGAAAAAACAACAGAAAUGGUCGAGGGCAGCAGUAGUCCACAAGAACAAUGCGAGUCCACUAGACAGAAGGUACUUUAUUCCAAGAUAAAGGAUUUGGUCCAGAAAGAUGGCUGUGCUGGGGGAAUAAUUGAGACCAAAGACAAAAGGCGAGGUAUCCCAGCAAAAAAUUCCAAGGGCGAGCAACUGCUGGUCUACAUCGGCAUCAUCGAUAUCCUUCAGUCAUACAGGCUGGUAAAGAAGUUGGAGCAUUCCUGGAAAGCACUUUUCCAUGAUGGGGACACCAUUUCAGUCCACAGACCAGGUUUCUAUGCCGAGAGGUUUCAGAAGUUCAUGUGCACUAAAGUCUUCAAGAAGAUCCCGGCAAAAACCCUCCCUUCCAAGAAGAAGCCACGCAAAGGACGGAGUGGGAGCAGGACUAUUACAGACGAAGAGGCAAGCACAUCAGCCUCUAUACAUUCACUCCGUUCUGCUCAUACCUGUAAAAAUGUGAACUACAUUAACGACCAGUCAGAUGCAGCCAAAAGAGAAGGAGAGACAAAGCAGGAAGAUGUCUCCAUCAAUUCUGAACCAGUGGACCUCUCCAGUGGAACAUGCAGCCAGGCAACCAGCUCUCCUUGUAGCUCCAGUAGCUUCCAGGUAGACAUUUUGAAAAGGGAAGGGGGAUUGGAGCAGGAAGUCUUCGCAACCUUAUCUACUCUGGUAGACCCAUCAUAUGAACCAACCAACCAGACCACUGGCUCUCUUAUUUGCUCCGUUGAUGUUGAGCCAUGCAUAGCAGAAAGAGGAGGAGGAGAAAAGGAAAGUCUCAGGACCCAAUCUGCUCCAGUCAUCUCGUCCUUUGGACCAAGCAACACCAUGAUAGAAGAGGCUUCAUUUCUGAAGAGGAUGAUAGGAUUUUAAUUUUAUACACAAUUCCUGAACAGGUUGCCCACAAAGGUGCUUUCUUUUUUUUCUAUUUCUGGGAGAAGUGAUAGCUCAGAAAUGGCUAAACUGUUGUGGGUGCCGAAUACACGCCUUCUGGGUGGGAAGGAACUGCACUCUGCUGGACAAUAGAACAGCUAAAGUGAAGCUGCAAUUCAAAGGUCUCCACAAAGUUAAUAACCUAAAAUUAUAAAAUGGAUGGUUGAAAGCAAAGGGGACUGCACUUUCUCCGGUCCUGUUCAAUCUAUAUACAUC